rnacentral:tRNA from 1 species
GUUGGUGGUACAGUGGUUAGCAUAGCUGCCUUUUAAGCAGUUGACCCGGGUUCGAUUCCCCACCAACA